UACAUAAGUUGUACUGAGUUCAUAAGUAUAGUGGUUACACUCAGCUUACAUCUGACUGAUAUGACCAUGCAUAUUACAUCUUGUUUCGGUACCGUGUUCUGAGAGUUGUAGGUUGCACAGAGCUUAGGCUAAACUAAUAAGGUUUCAUCAGCUUUGCUUUAUGUGCACAAAAGCACUUGCGCUUCAACAGUGACAUGGUCGUCAUAGGUAUGCAAAGCAGAUACUAAGAUAAAGUAGUUUCAUCAGCUUGUUUAUGUACAUAAAAGCAUUUGCUCUUCAAAAGUGAUGAUGUUCGUCGCAGACACGUAAAGCAUUUUUUCUGCACAAAAAAUAAGGAAAGAUUAGUUUUUUUAAAGAGUCUGUGAGCUAUUCUAUUUUAUGCACAAAGGUUAUAAAUGAGAGUGAAGAACGAUCUUAUACAAAGAAGAGUUGUACAUAAUGUCUCACCUUCAUGAGAACGACGCUGAUUUACUCGCCAUCGCUUUCAGGCUCCGUAGAACCUAAUUGUUGUUUUUGAACAUUCAUAGUUUUCAUCAUGUCUGUGUUCUUUAAUGUUAAAAGGAUUAUGGUAUGAAUUGUUGAAAAAGAAUAAGCAAGUUUGGAACAUACCUCUUUGGUGGGGAUGCCAGAUCUUUUGGGAUAGGGUGGUUUGAAACCUGGUCAGUAUUCUGUAAGUAAGUGAAUAAGAACUAUCAAAUAUUGUGUCUAAUGUAUAACAAAAAUUCAUAUCUGGUUUGAAGUAUGUGGAAAUGUUGUUCUUGAAGAGAGUGAGGUACUAGAGGUUUGCAGGUCGGUUUUGACAUCAGUAGAGGAAAAAUAGAUCUAUGUGAGAUAAACUAGAUGGCUUUCUAUCAAGAAGAAAAUGUAGAUUUGCUUUCGUAAUAAUUUGAAUUUAGAUGGGGUAGGUGUAUAAUCAUAUUGAUGUCAAAAUCGUGCAAUAUGUUGAAAUUAUAAGAGGGGGUAAUGGAAAGUACUGAGAAAUACUUUGGUGAUAAUAAAACUGUUCGAGGGAGUAACCGAUUCUUAAAAAAAUAGUGUGAGCCAAAACAGGGAGACACGGAAUAACAUCAUUGUAGGAUGUUCAUUUCUCUAUUCACAUCUAAGUGGGAUCUCAGCCAUUGUAAAGUAAUUUGUCUAGUGGGAAAUUACUGAAGCGGCCCGAAACAAUUAAACAUAAUUUUUAUGCUGCGUACAAAUGUACAAUGGUAAUCUGCAGCUAAAGAUUUUGCGUACUGUGGUUUAGAGUGUAUCAAUAACCUUUUAUAUUCAUAGUUUUAUAACAUAAUAGGUUGUCUUCGCUAAACAUGCAUUGCAGCACUUAUGUUAAAUGACACAUUAUAUAUGUGUUUCUCCUAGGAUUUAGCCAACUAAUCAGAGAUAGAAGAUAGCAAGAUGAAAGACAUAUGUGGGGAAAGAUCAUCGUGUCUAUUUGUCUUGUAAACAUCCCCUGUUAUUUCUAAACCCAAACAAUUAGCUGCAACCAGUUUAAACUUUAAAUAAUGCAAAAGGAACUAACAUACUCCUAAACAAACAGGCAGUCUACGAUUAUCGUUGUGAUACUGUUAUCCCACGCUGCUGAAUGGACCUGCACACGCAAGGCAAGAAUUUGCUUUUACGGUUUUACCUGAAGAGGGAUUGAGGGAAGCAUGGUAACAGCCAAUACGACAGAGAGAUUCCUACACUAAGCCCACGGCACAUGUCGGUGUGAGACGACGGCGGGACUGCGGGGGAGAGGAGGAUGGACCGCCCGUCGAUUUGGGGCGCUACAGGGCGGGUGGUGGUGGUGUGGCGGACGUCUUCGUCUGGGGACACCUGCCGGUCUUGGGGUUGGGACGACGACGGGCAGGGGCAUCGCGAACCACAUUAGGGAAGCUAGGGAGGGGGCAACCUUGAAAGAUCUUGGUGCGUCUUAUUUGUAGACGUCUAUCUCCGCUGCCAGCCAGAUUUUGAAUAGGGAAGAGACAGAGAGAGCGAGGAGGAAGAAGAAACGCUACCGAGCAGAGGACAGGCGAGGAGGGAGAAAGCG
rnacentral:lncRNA from 1 species